AGCAGCCGCGGUAAUUCCAGCUCCAAUAGCGUAUAUUAAAGUUGUUGCAGUUAAAAAGCUCGUAGUUGAAUUUUGGGUCUGGCCGGGCGGUCCGCCCUCUGGGUGAGCACUGUUCCGACGCCGGGCCUAUCCUUCUGGUGAGUCGGCAUGUCCUUUAUUGGGUGUGCCGGGGG
rnacentral:misc_RNA from 1 species